AGGGACCCAAACACAGAUGAAAACAGUUCAAGAAUUUAUUCACAACAGACAAGUCAACAAAGUAAAGGUGAAGAGGAGUCUAUGAAGCGUGUAGCCGCCCAGAGGGAGGAGUGUGUUUGUUGUUGAAGUGAGGAAGUGUCUGUUGAAGCUGGUGUGAUGCGGAACAAAGAGCAGGCGAAGGAGGACUAGUGUUUCCCAACACGGGGCAGAGAUGAGGAAUCCUCUUCCUUCGAUUCGUGGGUGGUGAAGACAGAUGUAUGGCGAACCUGAAGAUGAAGACAUCAAAUGCUGAUAUAAAACAACAGUGAACCACGAGUCGAGCGGCUCUUUUGUGUUACUAACGCUGGAUCAGCAUGCAGAAGAUCACGACUGCAAUGAUCAACACAAACAACAGAGUUCCAGCAGCAGCAGAAAUCAGCUUUAUCAGACGUACAUCUUUAUCUGUAUUAUCUGUAUUAGAUGAACAGAGACCGCGAGAUCAGUUCAGUUUAUGGGAGAGAGUCGCCUGUGUCACAUUCACCACUGAACACACCAACACACAUUUAGAGCUUGAAGAAUAUAGAGAAGAGUCUCUGAUGAUCACAGGAACCGGCAGACGAGCUGGAGAAUAUGAGAAAUAUACACAAUAAUCCAAUAACACCAUUUGUGUUUAUUAUGACGGUGAUUAAUGUGUGAAAAGAUGAACAACAUGACAAGUUUUCUCUACUCACCAUAGACACAAUGAGGAAUUCUCCAAACCUCCACUGGAUCCCCUCAUCUCUCAGUAUUUGAGUAUCAUUAUUCUUUAGAGUGACAGAAUCUCCCUCCAUCACUGACACUGAAACAUCUGUCUCAACACCAAACACACCUGCAGAACAAACAGAGACAGUUACUAAGAGAGACACUGGAAAUCAUUUCAUAUCAUUGAACAAUUCAUCCAUGCAACACAACUCUUUCAUUUGAAUGUAUAAUGAGACAUUUUCACACAAUGAGUUUGAUGAAGGUAUUUGGUGUUCUGUCUGUGUCAUUCAUGAUUUCAGUAAAUGCACUAUAUGAUCAAAAGUAUGUGAACACCCUCUUGUAAUUUACAGCUUUAUCUAUUCCAGUAAUUCCAGUAAAAACAAAUCUUAAUGCAACAGCACAAAGUCCAGACCUGAACCUCACUGAACACUUGAAAUCAACUGAAACUGUCUCAAAUCAUAGACAGUAGUAUUGAUUGAUUGAUCAUGUUAAAGACAAGUAAAUGCUGUCAUUAGUUGGAGUUAAUCACAUCAAAACAGAUUUAU